rnacentral:rRNA from 1 species
GAUGAACGCUGGCGGCGUGCCUAAUACAUGCAAGUCGAGCGAACAGACGAGCAGCUUGUUCCUCAGACGUUAGCGGCGGACGGCGAAGUAGCACGUGACUCACCUGCCAAUAAGACUGAACUAACUUCUAAGCACCGGAGAUAGUACCGAAUACUCUAUUGAACCGCAUGGUUCAAUAGUGAAAGACGGUUUUGCUUUUACUUGUAGAUGGUUCCCCGCCGCAUUAGCUAGUUGUUAAGGUAACGGCUUACCAAGACAACGAUGCGUAGCCGACCUGAGAGGGUGAUCGGCCACAGCGGAACUGAGACAGGGUCAAGACUCCGACGGGAGGCAGCAGUAGGGAAGGUGCCGCAAGGGGCGAAAGCCUGACGGAGCAACGCCGCGGGAGUGAUGAAGGUCUUCGGAUUGGAAAACUCUGUUCUUAGGGAAGAACAAAUGUGUAAGUAAUUAUGCACGUCUUGACGGUACCUAAACAGAAAGCAACGGCUAACUACGUG